rnacentral:tRNA from 7 species
GCUGUUGUAGCUCAGCAGGCAGAGCACUUCCUUGGUAAGGAAGAGGUCGACAGUUCGAAUCUGUUCAACAGCUCCA